CAGGAAAAAUGCAGAUUUCGUGAAAACCCUAACCGGCAAGACUAUACUCUCGAGUCGAGAGCACGACACAAUUGACAACGUCAAAGCCAAGAUCCAAGACAAAGAAGGCAUACCUCCGGACCAACAACGUCUCAUUUUCCGCCGGUAAACAGCUCGAAGAUGGUCGUACUUUGGCUGACUAUAUAUCCAGAAAGAAUCAACACUUCAUCUUGUUUUAAGGUUGAGAGGUGGAAUCAUUGAGCCUUCUUUGAUGGCUUUGGCUCGCAAGUAUACCAAAACAAAAUGAUUUGCCGCAAAUGUAUGCUCGUCUCCAUCCGAGCAGUGAACUGUAGGAAGAAGAAAUGGUCAGGCAAUCAGUUGAGGCCCAAUAAGAAGAUCAAGUAACUGUGACUGGUUGUCUUGAAUGAUCCAAAAUUUUCCAUUUACUUGUUUUUGUUUCUUGUUGAAAUUCAAUAUCUGUGUUUUUACAUGGAUAGUUGUGUGUUAAAGUGAGGUUCAAAUUUAUGGUUUGAUUGUUGCAUUCAUUUCGUUCGAAGAUGGAAGUAUGCGUUUUACACUUGUGGGUUGAGUUUGAACUUAGAAUCGAUGAUCAUCUAUUUUGGUAAUGAUUAAAUUGAUGGGAGUAUGUUAUAUAUUGGGUAAACUAAUACAAAUUGACCCCUCGGUAUGAUUGAUUUUUGUUACUGUUAAAAAAUUAAGUGUGUGUGAUCCUUUACAUUAUUGGUCCGUUCGGUUUUAAUCAGUAUUUCGGUAUGAUUUUUUGUUAUUGGUUUAAAAUCAAGUGUAGUUCAUCCUUUACAUUAUUCCGUUUCGGUUUUAGUCCUUAAGCCUUUAACUGAAGUAUGUGGUAAUUAAUUUUUUUUUUAAAUUCCGCCUUUUUCUUCUUCUUCCCGUAUGAUCAUCACUGGCUACCGAUUUCUUUGCCACGACAUGAAAGCUGGUGUGUAAUCAGCAAGUUGGGUAGCAAUAUCAGUCCAUGUCGGCGUAUGCCAACGGGUACAUCUGACUUGGAGUUGCUUUUACGAGGAUUCUUUUUGGCAACUUGCAGACUAAAGGGAAAACCAAAAACAAAACAUCAUUCAACCUCCCCACUCACAGAGACCCGAAGCCUCACUGUUUCAUCUCUUCAAAAAUCUCAUAGUAACUCAGUGGCUGAUAACGUAGUUAUUGAAGAGCCUCCAUGGAUGACCGCCCACUCAAGCUUGCCUCCAUACCCUCCACCGCCUGGGCCCACGCUUCCCCUCUCCUUCAAGUCGCCUGUACAGGUCUUAGCAGAGCUCAUUCUUGGGGACAAUUUCAAUCUUUUUGCUGCCAUGGCUACUUUAAGUUUUGAUACUUUCUUAGUUAUUAUGUCAAUGUCGUGUGAUUUUUUUCUCAUUUUUGAAGUGUGUUCGAAGUUAUCAUUAUCUUACUUAAGAUGAUACUGCAACUGAAGAUAGCAAGAAAAAUCUCAUUUUAUUUUGU